CCUGGUGGUCAUGGCGGGGAGAAAUGCACCCGAUCCCAUCCCGAACUCGGCCGUGAAACUCCCCAGCGCCAAUGGUACUCCGUCUUAAGACGCGGGAGAGUAGGUCGCUGCCAGGCCUGCAAAGGGCAAGACAUAAAGACAAAACACACGAACAAACCUCUUCAUACACAUAACAACCGAACACACACAAAGCCCUCCGAGAGAGAAAUCUCCGGAGGGCUUUGUCGUAUCUAAAACCCAACACCCCCAUGAAAAAGCCAAAUCCCACAAAGCGAAACCCCGCCCA
rnacentral:rRNA from 1 species